UACGGGGGGUAAGCGUUGUUCGGAAUUACUGGGCGUAAAGGGCUCGUAGGCGGCCAACUAAGUCAUACGUGAAUCCUCGGCUUAACCGGGAACUGCGUCUGAUACUGGUUGGCUUGAGUGCAGGAGAGGAACGCGGAAUUCAGGUGUAGCGGUGAAUGCGUAGAUAUCUGAGACACGUGCGAGGCGCGUCUGACUGCACUGACACUGAGGAACGAAAGCAGGGAGCAAACGGG
rnacentral:rRNA from 1 species